rnacentral:rRNA from 1 species
GACGAACGCUGGCGGCGUGCUUAACACAUGCAAGUCGAACGGUGACCAGGAGGGCUUGCCUUCUUGUGAUCAGUGGCGAACGGGUGAGUAACACGUGAGUAACCUGCCCCAGACUCUGGGAUAACCCCGGGAAACCGGAGCUAAUACCGGAUAUGACCCUCGGUCGCAUGGCCAGGGGGUGGAAAGUUUUUCGGUCUGGGAUGGACUCGCGGCCUAUCAGCUUGGUGGUGAGGUAGUGGCCCACCAAGGCGACGCCGGGUAGCCGGCCUGAGAGGGCGACCGGCCACACUGGGACUGAGACACGGCCCAGACUCCUACGGGAGGCAGCAGUGGGGAAUAUUGCACAAUGGGCGAAAGCCUGAUGCAGCGACGCCGCGUGAGGGAUGACGGCCUUCGGGUUGUAAACCUCUUUCAGCAGGGAAGAAGCGCAAGUGACGGUACCUGCAGAAGAAGCACCGGCUAACUACGUGCCAGCCGCCGCGGUAACAC